GGGCCCGCACAAGCGGCGGAGCAUGCGGAUUAAUUCGAUGCAACGCGAAGAACCUUACCAAGGCUUGACAUGGACCGGAUCGCCGCAGAAAUGUGGUUUCUCCUUUGGGGCCGGUUCACAGGUGGUGCAUGGUUGUCGUCAGCUCGUGUCGUGAGAUGUUGGGUUAAGUCCCGCAACGAGCGCAACCCUCGUUCCAUGUUGCCAGCACGUAGUGGUGGGGACUCAUGGGAGACUGCCGGGGUCAACUCGGAGGAAGGUGGGGACGACGUCAAAUCAUCAUGCCCCUUAUGUCUUGGGCUUCACGCAUGCUACAAUGGCCGGUACAAAGGGUUGCGAUACUGUGAGGUGGAGCUAAUCCCAAAAAGCCGGUCUCAGUUCGGAUUGGGGUCUGCAACUCGACCCCAUGAAGUCGGAGUCGCUAGUAAUCGCAGA
rnacentral:rRNA from 1 species